GGGCCUGUAGCUCAGCAUGGUAGAGCAGCGGGCUUUUAACCCGUUGGUCGAGGGUUCAAAUCCCUCCAGGCCCA
rnacentral:tRNA from 1 species